AAGUCGUAACAAGGUUUCCGUAGGUGAACCUGCGGAAGGAUCAUUAAAAGGCAUAGUUGAGUCGAUGAAUUUAUUCAUUCGACUCGACAUCCUGAUCAUUCCCUAUGUGCACUUUAUAUAAUGCUUUGGUAGGUCUUUAGACCUACCAAAAGUUUUAUCUAUAGCCUUAAUUUUUUGUCUGAAGAAAUAAAAUAUAAUAUAAAUACAACUUUCAACAACGGAUCUCUUGGCUCUC
rnacentral:misc_RNA from 1 species